CAACUUCACGCAGUGCUCCGCUGCCAGAUAUGCUGGCUCCGUGCGAGUCAUUCACAGCAUCCUCACAGAAGGCCAGGGGACUAUUAGAUCACCAGGUCUGCCUUUAUACGGCAGGACAGUGAACUCCAUCCAACUGUGUAUGAAAUAUCUGCAGGCAGACCCAGCAAAAAACAUUAGCAAAAGGCUGCUGGCAUCAAAGAGCCACUGAAAACGCUCUGCCAAGUCCACAUCAGCAUUAACUGCCUCUGUGCCUGAGCAGUCCUACACGCACACUGCAGCGAGAAUCGCUAUCCCAAAAACCUGGGUGAAACAGGACUACUCAACUGCAGGCAGUGUCCACGACAAGAAUUAGUCAAAAAUUUUGUGCAUUAGCCAGCACACAGAAAGAAAAUAGGGGGGAGAAGGAGAAAAUACGGGAUUCCCAAGCUGUUAGCCCAGGAUUCCCUGUCAAAAAGCAUCACAUGCCCCCCAGAAUUGUUCAGGGGCAGGUAGCAAAAGUGGAGCCUUCCACCCAGCUCCCUCUAAUUUUGGUGUGCAUCACGUGAGGAUUUAUUUUCACAGCAUCCUUUCACAUCCUUUCUCGGGCUCAGUGUUAGAAGACGGCACUUUUCCGCGAUACUUGCUGUGGUGUCAGAAGUCACCUCACAAUGAGCCAACAGGAGAAAAUACCAGAAGCCAGCUCUGGCAAGGCUUUCGGCUGGAUGCACCCAUGGGAGGGUGUGAGCAGGUCCCACCUGCAGCACCACCAGACAUGAGCAGGGUACCACACACAUCCAAAUGGUCCCUGAGAAAGAAACUCAGUUUGGGAUAUGCUACUGUCAGACAAAGUGAGAAGACAAUUCUGCAGAGGAGAUACCAUGCUAAUAACAAUUUUUUUCAGCCACAUGACACUGUUUCACAGUAAGCAUGGUGACCUGGGCAAGGAGGUACCAGCAGAAAGCUGUGACUUGGGAACCAGGAAAGGCAUCCCACGCUAGGAUUUUAAGCCAAAGUAACUACAUAAAUAAAUAGCACUGGGGUGGAGAGCAGCCUGCAAAGCCACCUGAGGAAGGGAAAAUGAAGGUUGACAUACCAGAGAUCAGCAAGAGUGCAGUGCAAAUAGCAGAAGAGAAAAUAUCCCACCUGGCAAAAAAAUGAAACAUCAUAAAAUGAAGUUUUUUAGGGGCCCUGCAUUUCCUGGAUGGAAACGUGUCCAGUGCAGCAAGGGACGUAAGAAGAUGGAUGAGGUGGAAGGCCGGGAGUCUCACGGAGAGGCUUGGAGGCAGCAGCAGCUAGCCUUCCGUGAGGAGCAACGCCAUGUGGUUACUCACCGACGGCGAUUUUAGCUCGGCUUUCUUGUAGGAGCCAAAGACGGUAGGUCACAGGGAAGUUUAAAAAGUGCUGAUUUGGACUCCAGAAGAGAUGGAAAGCUACUGCUGACAAGCCAUUAUAGGCACGUUCCAGAGUUCAAGUUCUUGGGGACCACAGCAAGCUCACUCCUCCCAGCCCUCACUUCCAGAGCGCAGACAGCGCGUGGCUCCGGGGUGCGGCUCUUCGCUCCCCUGAGCCUGAAGGACAUGGCAGCGCCCUGUGCCCUGUGGAGCCACAUCUCGCCGAUACCGGGCCAACAGAACAGCAGCGAUGGACACACUGUGACUGCUUCCUCAGAGGUUCUUCCGAACAGAGCGUGAAGCUCAGGGCAGCUCGCCCCUGGUGGCAGCAUGGGUUGGCUGCUGGCACUGGACGCAGCCGCAGCCUGGGGACCUCCCGGGACUGCUCAGGGUGGUCACUGGGAAGAACCGGGCUUCGUCUCAAGGGACCAGCUCCAGCUGAGCUGCCAUGUGACCCUAAAGCACGGCUGACAACAUCGGGGCUGCAGAAAGGAUAAAAGCCUCCUGAGCCCAGAAAAGCCCAAAUCCAAGUGAGCAGAACCGGGUCUCCCAAGGAACGUUUUCAGCGUGCUGUCCCUCUGGGCGGCUGGCAAAACAAGGCUAGGGGAGUCAGUAAGCCAGCAGCCCGGCACCUACUUGCCACUGACUAGCUGAUAGUGGUAAGGACUUUGAGUAUCAGACGUAACGGGGAAGAACAGCAAGGCUGUGUUUACUGCUUCUGUGGAGUUGUAGGAAACCACGUGGGGUGUAGAAACUACACGGAGACAGCUCUGUCUUGAAAUUUUGCAGGGAGACGAGUACGGGAGAGAGAAACCUCAGGGAUUAGGCUGCCUUUUGCAUUCUAGUGCAGAUCCCUCCCCACGUUAAAGAAGACGUUUCUGCCCGCGUUCAAGGGCAGUGAGCCCGCAGCCUGCCCUCUGCUUCCCCCGACAAGGGCUCACGGGGGGAGCGGACGCGUGCUGCCACUCGGGUCGGUCCCGCCGCCUGUGCCAGGGCUCUGGUGGCCGAUCCAUCCAGCAGGGACACUCAUCCCGAGGGGCAUCAGCUGCACGGGAGCAGAGAGGGAACCAAAGAGCAGGGAGCCCAAGGGGAAGGGUUCGUCAGCACCGUGCCAGACGUCCCGCUGCAGCUCCCCUCGGCCGCGGAGCAGCUGGCCUUGCCAUAUGAUCUCCUCUGCACCUCCACAGGGCUGCAGCCAGAGCCCGGAGCGGGACGCAGCCCUGCCAGGCAGCUCAUAGGAAGCCUCCCCCGGCCGAGCCAGCCAAAGCCAUGGGAAGCUGCCGUGCGGAGCGCUUACAAGGGGCCCAUUAUGGGAGGAAGGAGCCAAGAGGCCAGGAACUCACGGAGAGCGCGGACGGUCGGGCUGCUCGCCGCCGAGAUCAAACCCACGCCUGGGAAGAGAGAUUAGCAGCAGAGAGAGGAUGGCGAGCGCGAUCCGACGGCGGGGAGCACAGCGCUGGCCCGGGAGGGUGAGCUGCAGGUGGGCAAAGUGCUCAGGGCAAAGCAGAGCCACUGCGUUCCCCUCCCUGUAAGUCCAUGCGCCAGCUUUGGUGGCUGAGACAGCACCGAAGGAGAGGCCAAGGUCAGAUGGAGAUGCAGUGUCUCCCCAAGCCCAUGUUUUCCGUGGCCAGGGGAAUGAGGCAGCCCUUGGGGCCAGCAUGGAAAGGAAGGGGCUUGUUGGAGCCUGAAGAGGAGAGGAGCAAGCGUGCACCUUGCUGACAGCGUGGCCCGUCCUUCCUGCCACCGCUGCGGCAGAGAUGGAGGGGUGCUUGCGCAGCUGAGGACCAAACUCACAGUGCCCACAGGGCUCUUCGGGAUGGGGGUCCCUCUGUGCACCCUCAUUCCCCCACCCUCCAUGUCCACACCGCCUCUGCAAUACCCCCUCGGAGGGGUAGCACCUGGGAACCACGCGUCCGGGGCCAGUUGGCCCCCAGAUGCGGCUCCUGGCACCGCAUCCCUUAGAUUAAUUAGCCCCUUUUCUUCCUCUUCUGAAGGGUUCACAACCCACAUGUGCUUCUUCCUCGUCUGUGAGCGGACCCCUAACGCGCUGCAGAUGGGACACAUUCCACGGAUUCAGGAGCUGCCUGUAGCUCCCACAGAGGAAAAGGAGCCCUCCCCCGGCUCGGGCUGAAGGGCAGGUGAAGGUUGGCCAGCCCCACGGCUUAAAAAGCAGAGUGCAGAGCCACCUUUCAGAGGCACAAGUCACAGCCUCUCUGAAAAGAGUCAAGAGACAAGGAGGGAGUGCACGGGGAGCUGGAUGGAGAAACAGCUUCCAGCAAUUCAGACAUCUCUGCAGAGGACUUCUAACACCAAGGACAUUGGAGAGGCAGGAAAAGAGGUUUCUAAAUGUGAGAACACAGCCAGCAAAUCCUCCGCAGACACCACCCGACACCCUGGCUAUGCCGUGAUGCACACACAGCUCAGCAUGUGUGCUGACGGGACACCCAGGGAAGGAGAUGUUCCCACUGGACCAUUGGGAACAGCACCAAGCAGACACACAUGCCGGCCCUCCAGCCACCUCCACCCUCGGUGUGUCCCUCAGAGCCUCAGGGUACAUCCCGGCCUCCCCCUGUGACGAGGACGCCAGCAAGCAGCCGAGAACCAUGUAAGUGACGGCAUCUUGUCAGAAAACAGAACAAAAAUUGUCCAGCACCUCCUAGCUGGGUUUAUUGCUCCUUCUGCUUUCGUUUAGCCAGGACCAUCUCCGAGUCGGAGGCGGGAGGCACAGCCCAGCCAAGUGGGUGUCCCACGGCCAGACUCUUUGGUCAUGCUGUUGUCUAAACAUAUGUCCGUACGUUACCGGGGGCUGAGACCACACGCUGGAAAGGAGGUUACAGCAUGAGAGGAAAACAUGCUGCUGUGAAGGAGAAGAAACCUGGAGAGCAGGAACAGAUGGCAGAACCCAAGGGAUGGGAGUGAGGAGUGAGGCAGAGAGGAUAUCGCUGUGGGCUACUGCUGCGGAAAGGCUCUGGUGGGGCUGGCUGCAGAGCACAGCUGGCUCCUUAUUUAUCCAUCACAUUAUUUCAAGCCCCUUCAGCAACUCAUCCAGAAGAAAAAAAAAAAAAAAAAGAGAGAGAGAGAGAGAGAGAAAACUCAGCUAGAAUGUGACUCAUGCAGAGCUACAGCAGCUCAAGGGAACCUGUCCGUUUAUAAUUAAUGAAGUCCCGCUUCCAGUGAUCCGACUGCAGCCUCCAUCUCCCCAGGAGGCUGGGCCUGGCCUCUGCUUCUUCCAUACCCGUGGUGGGGAGAGGGGCCUGGAAGCCAGGCGGGUCUGGCCAUCCCCACGGAGCCUCGCUGUGCAGGGAGGCUGCCCCACAUGGAAGCCCCUUCCUUCCACCACGGCCUCCUCCAGAGCAACCUGCUCAGGGCAUCCACCUGUCGGGGCUUCAAGAGGAACAUGCAGUCAGUGGCUUUCAGGAGGGGGGAAAGGGAAGAAGGAGCAAGAGGAAGAGGAGCAUCUGGCUGGUUUUAAGGGCUCUGACCCACAAACAGGGAAUGCUCCCUGCAUGGUCAGGGCACUGUUGAGAGGAGUGAGGAAAGGACCCUGACAGUAUGCAUUUCUGCAGCCUUCUCUUCCUAUUUUCUCUAGGGUCUUACCUCCAGGAGGCUUUUCCUGACACAGAUGAUGAACACCAGCUUGUAACAGACUGGCAGGGAACAGGGAAAUGGGAAGAAUAGCUGAGGAGACACAGGAACCAUGGGGCAGAAGAUUUCCUUUCCUGAUGGCUGGUGCCACCUCGCAGGCAGUACUUCCCAAAGAGUCCACAGCCUGGAGGAGAGAAGAGAGAUCCAAACAAGACAACCCAACAGCGGGGAUGGGAGAAACAAGGUAAUGCCAGACUGUGCUGAAGGAGCUUUUUCUGAGAAAUUCCUACCAUCAUGAACUUUUCUUAGUGGCAUUAUAAAGCUUUGAGUUCUACUGAGUGUUUGGGAUUAAAGCCAUUUAAUUCCUGCUUCUGA